rnacentral:sRNA from 1 species
GCUGGGCAUGAUGGCACACGCCUGUAAUCCCAGUGACAGGGGAAGCUGAGACAGGAGGAUGGUGAGUUAAAGCCAGCCUCAGCAACUUAUCAAGGCCCUAAGCAACUCAAUGAGACCCUGUCUCUA